AAUCAACGCUGGCGGCGUGCCUAACACAUGCAAGUCGAGCGAGAAAAGGGGGGCAACUCCCUGAGUACAGCGGCGCACGGGUGAGUAACACGUGGGUAAUCUGCCCUGGAGUGGGGAAUAACACCGGGAAACCGGUGCUAAUACCGCAUACGAUAGCGAGGUCUGCGGACUUUGCUAUGAAAGGAGCAAUUCGCUCUAGGAGGAGCCCGCGGCUGAUUAGCUAGUUGGUGAGGUAAUGGCUCACCAAGGCUACGAUCAGUAUCCGGUCUGAGAGGACGGUCGGACACACUGGAACUGAGACACGGUCCAGACUCCUACGGGAGGCAGCAGUGGGGAAUUUUUGGCAAUGGGGGAAACCCUGACCAAGCAACGCCGCGUGGGUGAUGAAGUCUCUUGGGACGUAAAACCCUUUCGACGGGGAAGAAACCGCAAGGUUGACGGUACCCGUGGAAGAAGCCCCGGCUAACUCCGUGCCAGCAGCCGCGGUAAUACGGGGGGGGCAAGCGUUGUUCGGAAUUACUGGGCGUAAAAGGGCGCGUAGGCGGUUCGCUAAGUUGAAUGUGAAAACUCUGGGCUCAACCC
rnacentral:rRNA from 1 species